rnacentral:rRNA from 1 species
AGAGUUUGAUCCUGGCUCAGAGUGAACGCUGGCGGCAGGCCUAAUACAUGCAAGUCGAACGGCAGCACAGCAGAGCUUGCUCUGUGGGUGGCGAGUGGCGGACGGGUGAGGAAUACGUGGGAAUCUGCCCAGUCGUGGGGGAUAACGUAGGGAAACUUACGCUAAUACCGCAUGCGCCCUUCGGGGAAAGCCGGGGACCUUCGGGCCUGGCGCGAUUGGAUGAGCCCACGUCGGAUUAGCUAGUUGGCGGGGUAAAGGCCCACCAAGGCGACGAUCCGUAGCUGGUCUGAGAGGAUGAUCAGCCACACUGGAACUGAGACACGGUCCAGACUCCUACGGGAGGCAGCAGUAGGGAAUAUUGGACAAUGGGCGCAAGCCUGAUCCAGCCCAUGCCGCGUGAGUGAAGAAGGCCCUCGGGUUGUAAAGCUCUUUUGUCCGGAAAGAAAAGCGCCGGGUUAAUACCCUGGUGUCCUGACGGUACCGGAAGAAUAAGCACCGGCUAACUUCGUG